rnacentral:rRNA from 1 species
CAAAGGGAAGCGAGACGGCGACGUCAAGCAAAUCCCAGAAAUAACGUCCCAGUUCGGAUUGUAGUCUGCAACCCGACUACAUGAAGCUGGAAUCGCUAGUAAUCGCGGAUCAGAAUGCCGCGGUGAAUACGUUCCCGGGUCUUGUACACACCGCCCGUCACACCAUGGGAGUCGGAAAUGCCCGAAGUCAGUGACCCAACCGUAAGGAGGGAGCUGCCGAAGGUGGAGCCGGUAACUGGGUGAAGUCGUAACAAGGUAUC